rnacentral:rRNA from 1 species
GACGGAGGAUGCAAGUGUUAUCCGGAAUCACUGGGCGUAAAGCGUCUGUAGGUGGUUUAAUAAGUCAACUGUUAAAUCUUGAGGCUCAACCUCAAAAUCGCAAUCGAAACUAUUAGGCUAGAGUAUAGUAGGGGUAAAGGGAAUUUCCAGUGGAGCGGUGAAAUGCGUAGAGAUUGGAAAGAACACCAACGGCGAAAGCACUCUGCUGGGCCGACACUGACACUGAGAGACGAAAGCUAGGGGAGCGAAUGGG